GCUGCCAGUUGCCAACGGGUGAAGCCGGGCACUCUGCGGGACUGCCAUCGACAAGAUGGAGGAAGUGGGGAUGACGUCAAGUCAUCAUGGCCCUUAUGUCCAGGGCGACACACGUGCUACAAUGGCCGGCACAGCGGGAAGCGAGGCAGUGAUGCCAAGCGGAUCCCUUAAAGCCGGUCUCAGUUCGGAUUGAAGUCUGCAACUCGACUUCAUGAAGCUGGAAUCGCUAGUAAUCGCAGAUCAGCCAAGCUGCGGUGAAUACGUUCCCGGGCCUU
rnacentral:rRNA from 1 species